CACCCCGGGCUCCCCACACCUCUGCUGCUUCCUGCACUCCUGACGCUGGCCACAGUGUCUGUUGGGUCACUGCCCCACUGCCGUCCUUAAACGCCUGCCUCUCUCCGUCGCCCACUCCAUUAAAAGCAGGAGCUGAUCUACACACAUGGGUGCACAAGGCACCCGGGCAGAAGCCAGGCCGCGGUGCAUGUUCGGACUAUUUUUUGCAAGAACCUAGAUGUAUGAAACAGAUGGAAAAAACCAGAGAAAAUGUGCUUCAGGAACGAGACAUUAUGUCUGUUCCAGCAUCAAUGUCCGGGCGGCGCUCUGGGUCUAGGGUGCUGAGCAGCUUCCACCCACCGAGGGCAGAGCUCCCCAGUCAUGAGGAUCCAGUGUCCCAGAUGUCCCCCAGGGUCCCCUGGGGGCAGUCAGCCCUCCCCCUGGAGAACAGCUACUCUGACCGAGAAGGACAGACGAUGACGUCACACAGUCCACACAUUGACAGUUCCCGACAUCAACAAAUGUCCUGGGUGCCCAUUUCCAUCAUGGCUCUUAUAGGUACAUAUAUAUUGGGGUUUGGGGACACCUCUUAAGGGUGGCACCUGCAUAAUAAGUCAGUUACUCUUUCCCAUGAUGAGUGCCGGCACCAACAGGGGGACCUCAGGAGCUGAGCUUCACCCGGAACCAGGCUGCUGGCAGCUCACCGCCCUCCUAAACAGAUGGCGAAGUGAGGCCCGGGCUGGUGCCUGGGUCUCCCGGCAGCAUGGAAUCCACUUCUGAACACCUGAGCCGCCACC
rnacentral:lncRNA from 1 species